CAUUAUAAUUUGACUGCUUCAAUCCAUUGUAGUGAUAGACAGUAAAAGACUCUGGACCACUGGAGCCCUAUUAUAAAUAAAAUACUAUUAAAGUUUUAAAGUUUACUUUUAUACUUCGAAAGGAAAAUUCAAUUGAAAGGAAAAUU